UGUAUCCCUAGUGACCCUGUGCACAGUACAUGGAGGUGAGAGUUGGCCCAGGCUUGGGUUGCUGGUGUCUGCAGUCUCCCCGUGCCCCCGCCCCCAUGAUGAGAUAACCCGGAUGAGCCAAAGUCGCAGAAGAAGGAGAUGCAAGCAAUGGAGCCAACUCAAGCUCAGCCCAGUGCAGCCGACUCCAGAGAACCUGCAAACCCACCAGUGAAAAGAAAGUCUGUUCCCGGUAAUCCACCACAUUUGUCAGAUUGCACCUCCUCCCGGCCGGUGAGCCACUUCUAGUCACUCGGCCCUGCCUGUGGCCCACAAGGACUUUGCCUGUGCUGAGAAGACAUCAGGUUUAUGGGAACACUGAGCAGGUGGAAUUUAGAGAGAUGAGGGGCCUUUGAAAGGCGGAACGAAGCACAGAGAAGCUCAGUUGGCUGGACCUCCUGGGAGAGCAGGGAUGGGGGGCAGCUGCAUGCCCACCACGAUGCGAGGUGUGGUGCCACAUGCCCAGACUAGGCUGUUCCUUGUGACAUGAGGUGGACAUCACGUACAAGGCUCCUCCCUUCAUCCUGCCUACCACAGACAGGUGGGAAGCGUCUUCCCCAAAACCUUUGCUUCUUAUCACGCUUGCCUUACUCUCUGAAAUGAAGUCUCCAACAGCUGAGUGGGAUUUGGUGUGGAGGGCAGCAAACAGGGUUCAGAAUGAGUCUGACACAGCCGAAGGAGUCAAAGCCCUGGAGAAGAGCAUGAAUGGACUUGGAAAGGACAGACUAAAACGGCAGAGGCAUUUAUACAGGUCUCCCCUACCUCUCAGAACAAAACAAUUCUGAGAUAAGAGAGGCAUGGGUGAGAGGAAAUGCUUCCAUUUUUCACAUCGCAAGCUGGAGAGAUCCAAUAGGCUGUUUAUGAAGAACAAUAAAAAAGAUACAUGAACCCAGUAAA